rnacentral:lncRNA from 1 species
AAGAAGAGGGACAGUCGAUGGUAUUUUGCAUAAGAUUGUUCUAUUUUUUCAAUAUUGUAAGGUUGGUGUUCACGUGUCUUGUAAGUUGAUCUUACUUUAUAAAUGAGACACGUAUUAUCAUGCAAAAAAAGUCCCUCUUCAGACGGGCCGGCCUAGUCGGGGGCUCCACGUGGAUCGGGGCUUGCUUGCUCCCUUUCGUGCUCCGAUUGUAUCGAACGCCUCUCCUUUCUUCUCCCCCCGCACAAAUUUAUUUCCU